CCUGGUUAGGAUAGUAACUAACAAGUAGCGAGGGACACCACCAGUUGCCUUUGCCCAAAGUUAAAAAACCCAAAAGAUGCAACUGCCACCUGUAACCAUCGUCCAUUGAUGCGAAUCAAGUCCAAACCCUGUUUUCGUUUUCUUUUUCCUUCCAAUCGAAUUGGUCUCCAUGGAUCUUCAUCAUCGAUGUAUCGAUUUCUGUAAGGAGGCUUGGUAGUUCGCUUUCAUGUCCUAGAACCCCAGGAAUAGUUCUUGACCCCAAGGCAAGGCCUACUCAGAAGGGUACUAUGGUAAUUGCACUAUAUAUAUUUAUCUUAGAGCAUCUGCUAUUGGUGGACAAAGUAGCUCCAUUAACCAAUUGGGGCAAUCCUCCAUACAUAUUACCAAUAUGCCUCUGCAACCUAAUUCAAGAGACUGAAAGCCUAGGAAAAGCAAAUAUGUGGAGAAAAGAUAUGUUCAUCAGUGAUGACAAAGCAUAUACUAGAGAAGUAAAAUCAAGGCAUCCGUACAAGUAGAACGGAACUUUUGCAUGGGGAGAUAUUCUUAUUUGAUUUUUGUUAUCUUUGAGUGGUCGAUCACAAUAUUAGUCAUAUCACUAAGGAUGCGAUUGGAUGUGCAAAAAUCUCUUCUUUUCCAGAAAUUGUUUCUAAGAAAAGUGAAAGUUAUGAAAACAUGUUUGGUUUAA